CAGCAGUAGCCGCGGUAAUACAGAGGGUGCGAGCGUUAAUCGGAUUUACUGGGCGUAAAGCGUGCGUAGGCGGCUAAUUGAGUCGGAUGUGAAAUCCCCGAGCUUAACUUGGGAAUUGCAUUCGAUACUGGUUAGCUAGAGUGUGGGAGAGGAUGGUAGAAUUCCAGGUGUAGCGGUGAAAUGCGUAGAGAUCUGGAGGAAUACCGAUGGCGAAGGCAGCCAUCUGGCCUAACACUGACGCUGAGGUACGAAAGCAUGGGGAGCAAACAGGAUUAGAUACCCGCGUAGUCCCUGUCUCUUAUAC
rnacentral:rRNA from 1 species